GUGAGGAAUAUUGGACAAUGGGCGCAAGCCUGAUCCAGCCAUGCCGCGUGCAGGAAGACGCAUCUAUGGUGUGUAAACUGCUUUUGUACGGGAAGAAACACUCCUACGUGUAGGAGCUUGACGGUACCGUAAGAAUAAGGAUCGGCUAACUCCGUGCCAGCAGCCGCGGUAAUACGGAGGAUCCAAGCGUUAUCCGGAAUCAUUGGGUUUAAAGGGUCCGUAGGCGGUUUAAUAAGUCAGUGGUGAAAUCUGGUCGCUCAACGAUCAAACGGCCAUUGAUACUGUUAGACUUGAAUUACUAGGAAGUAACUAGAAUAUGUAGUGUAGCGGUGAAAUGCUUAGAUAUUACAUGGAAUACCAAUUGCGAAGGCAGGUUACUACUAGUGGAUUGACGCUGAUGGACGAAAGCGUGGGGAGCGAACAGGAUUAGAAACCCCGGUAGUCC
rnacentral:rRNA from 1 species